rnacentral:sRNA from 1 species
CCGCAGCCCGACUUGAGCGGAAAUCCUUUUUUGCUUGUACUUAAGUUCAACUUACCGGGAAAUCUUGAGCAAAAAAGAUUGGGAGCGGAAGACGGAUAAAGC